CCCCGAGCCCUCGACGCAUCUCCUUCUCCUCCAGCUCCACCCCCAUCUCCUUCUUUUCCACCUCCGCCCCCAUCUCCCCUACCUUUCUCCUCUUCUCCACCCUCGACUGACUUUCUCCUCCAUCUUUGCCCUCGUCUAUGCCGCCGAGCUGCCUGAUUCCUGUUUCUCUCCUUCUCCUCUGUCGCCCGAGCUGCCCUAGCCCUUGCCCUGUAGCCCAUUCUUGUCUUCCUUGCCCCUCACGCUUCUUCACCCUCCUUCAACCUCUCGCCUCCUUCAAACGUGCAGUGGAUUGAAGCUGCCCCUCGCCCUGCCAAUCAAGCAAUCUGCCCAUUCCACAGGCAGACCACCCGUAGCUUCCGUUGCAGCCUAGCAGCUCCUCAGCUUCCUCUUCUCCUCUCCUUAGCAGGAACGACAGCUCUCUGCAGCAGUGACUCAUCCGACUCAUUUCCGGCAUUUCUGAAGAGCAUCUCCAGAGAAGGGUUAUCAUUUAUUCACCUGCUCGCACUGCAACUCAGCAAGGUUCAGGAAAAGUUGGAAGGUAGAAAAUCAACUUCUUGUCAACGCAAAAGUAAGUUAUGGUGGUCCUUUCUUUCCAACAGCUGCAUGUUCACAUGUUUUUCAGGAUCCUGCUGUCUUCCCGAUGGUUACUGUCAUAGAGAAUACAGUGUUAAUGACUUCUGCUACAAAGCCUGCCAGGGAUAUAAAUUACCAAAAAAUGGCUAUGUAGUGUGUACAAUGUACAAAAACGUAAGGGGGAAAACAGCCUACAAAAUCAAGGCAGUGCAUCCCCAUUAAGCUUGCCUCAAAAGCCGCUGCUCAUACUUUCUUGGCUCAAUGUAGCUCAUCGGCCUCAAACUUCAUAGACAGCUUCAGGCUCUUGGAUGCAUGACAUGGCAUGUGAGCCAUACAAAUGUCGAAUGUGAGAUUUCUAUACAUACCUUAACUAGCUAGGAAGAAAAAAGCAGUAUGCCAUGGUCAAUGUACACUUCUAUUCACUUCUAUGGUCAAUGUCAUAGUGCGUGUGUGUGAUCUGUAGAAACCAGACCAUUAAAUUAAAGAAUGUUUGCUGAUAUGGUGAA